ACCGCAUGCAUGUGAUACCUGGUAGGGGUUGUGUGUGCGGGGUUGUGGGAGUUGUACUUGCCGGUUCUACCAGGCCGGCGGACAGUAAAAAAGUGUCGUGAUUAGCGGAAGUGGUCUGGGACGGCCCGCCGCAGACGGUGAGAGUCCGGUACGCGAAAAUCCGACACCUGUCUCGUACUUCAUCCCGAGUAGCAGCGGGCUCGUGGAAUCUGCUGUGAAUCUGCCGGGACCACCCGGUAAGCCUAAAUACUCUCUAGUGACCGAUAGCGGAUUAGUACCGUGAGGGAAAGGUGAAAAGAACCCCGGAAGGGGAG
rnacentral:rRNA from 1 species